GCAAGUCGAGCGGCAUCGAGUGAGCGCAGUUUACUGAGUUCAUGUCGGCGAGCGGCGGACGGGUGAGUAAAGUCUGGGAAUCUGGCCGAAGGAGGGGGAUAACUGCUGGAAACGGCAGCUAAUACCGCAUGAAGUCGCGAGACCAAAGUGGGGGACCUUCGGGCCUCACGCCUUCGGAUGAGCCCAGAUGAGAUUAGCUGGUAGGUAAGGUAAAGGCUUACCUAGGCGACGAUCUCUAGCGGGUCUGAGAGGAUAGCCCGCCACACUGGAACUGAGACACGGUCCAGACUCCUACGGGAGGCAGCAGUGGGGAAUAUUGCACAAUGGGCGAAAGCCUGAUGCAGCCAUGCCACGUGUGUGAAGAAGGCCUUCGGGUUGUAAAGCACUUUCAGCGAGGAGGAAGCGAUAAAUGCCAAUACCAUUUA
rnacentral:rRNA from 1 species